UGUUUUCUUCUUCUUGAUUCUUCUCCUUCACUCACGAUCUUCUUCCUCCUUCCUCUCUAAACAAUUUCUCACACCCGACCUUUCUCCCCCCUCCUUCUCAAUUUUUCUCUUCAUCUCUCCCUCUCUUCUUCUCCUUCACGCCGACGCCACCACCAAAUCGACAACCCUCCUCUGACGUUGGACGACGACUAGCGCGCCACGCCAACCACCAUCGACGUUUAAAUCUUCCCUACCAUCAAUCGAACUCCGGCUAUUCUAUGUCGUUCCGUCCGAGAUCAUUGAGUCGAGCCAGCUUGGAGUCACACCCUGCUACUUACUUCCUAUAGAUCGUCGUGCUAGGCCACCCUCUGCCAUCGCUAGCCUCGUCGGAUUUGGAAGUUGAGGCUAAAUUGAAGUGGGGAAAGCGUAAAAUCCCGAAGGAUCGAGUAAUUGAUUCGCCACCUACGGUUGUCAGAGGAUUCCAGGAUCGAAAGAGGCCGUGACCGAAGAUCCGAGAACCUGAGCCUAGGUGAGUAUGUGGAUGGAGGAUUGUGAUAUGACUUCGGGCCUAGCUAAACCCAUGGUGGGUGGCUCUAUGUGCACAUAGAAGCGGUAUGUUGCUACCAUGGUAUGUGCUAAGUAUGUGUGAGCUCCGUUUGGCCGCGUGUUUCUUUAUUGAUAUAGAGCACGUGUGAGCUAUCCUUGGGCUGUAUGCUUAGUAUGCUAUCAUGGUUGGGUUGGAUUGGUUGGAUCGGAUUGGAUGGAAGUUGUUAUCGUGGCGGGUACUAAAUAUACGUGAGCUAGUUUUGGUCGCAUGAUUCAUUGGUCAUGUGUGAGCUAUCUUUGGUCGUAUAUUUAGUCACCUUGCCACGGUUGAUUGGGUCUAGGUUUGUUGGCCUUGCUUGUGGUUUAUGGUAAUAUAUGAUUUUAACCCUGUAAUUAUUAUUUCGUUAUUGAUGUUAUAUUUAAACGAUUUGAAGAUAUGUUUUAUGAACUUUUACCUUUUAAAA